rnacentral:rRNA from 1 species
AUUGAACGCUGGCGGCAGGCCUAACACAUGCAAGUCGAGCGGUAGAGAGAAGCUUGCUUCUCUUGAGAGCGGCGGACGGGUGAGUAAUGCCUAGGAAUCUGCCUGAUAGUGGGGGAUAACGUCCGGAAACGGACGCUAAUACCGCAUACGUCCUACGGGAGAAAGUGGGGGCUCUUCGGACCUCACGCUAUCAGAUGAGCCUAGGUCGGAUUAGCUAGUUGGUGGGGUAAAGGCUCACCAAGGCGACGAUCCGUAACUGGUCUGAGAGGAUGAUCAGUCACACUGGAACUGAGACACGGUCCAGACUCCUACGGGAGGCAGCAGUGGGGAAUAUUGGACAAUGGGCGAAAGCCUGAUCCAGCCAUGCCGCGUGCGUGAAGAAGGUCUUCGGAUUGUAAAGCACUUUAAGUUGGGAGGAAGGGUCGUUACCUAAUACGUGGCGAUUUUGACGUUACCGACAGAAUAAGCACCGGCUAACUCUGUGCCAGCCGCCGCCGUAAAAC